CGCAGAAAAUGGGCCCUUCUGACCGUCGGGACUUGCACUGUGGGUGACUCCGUCUCCUUAGACGGUAGAGCCUGCGUGACCCAGAGAGGCCGUGAGUUUUGACACUGUAUUUUUGCAUAUGUGUUCACAGGUGCAGAUUUACGUUCAUAUGCUCCGUAAGCCCUGUCCCAUUUGUCCUUCCUCUAAGCCGUCCUCUUACCCAAUUCCCCAAUCACACCUGAGAAGCAUUUCUCCGCAGGAGUCACGCUUACAGCAUGUUUUUUUUCUUCGAACUAAAAACAUAACUCCUAUUUUUUCGGGUAGUUUUUGUAGCAAGGUCGAAAUCGAAACACUUCAGCCCCUCUUCGGCGAGAGAGGUUAGUUGGUAAGGUGCCCAUUGUUCACCCAUGGAAACAGGCCUGCCAAGGGCCGCCCGGCAGACAGGUGAGCCCGCGCCCCCGUCGUGGGCGGACUGCGACCUGCGGCGGGUGUCUGGAGUGCGUGGCUCCUCGGGCCUCCUCGCAGUGCUUGCUGUCUGCCAUUCUAGCACUUGCCUCGGUGACCUGGCAGGACGUGCGGCUCUUGAGAUGAGUGGAGAAACGGACUCCCAGGCCCCUCUCGUUCCUCCAACACAGGGACACCUAGAGCUGCUCCAGAAGUAUUCCUAACUUCUUCCACAACCGUGCAUGUGUCAUUUUUACUACACCAUCACUUACUUCCCUGGCCUUCCUGGAGGAAGUGUGCGGGCCAUCGCGAAGUUACCAGUACCGCCCGGGGGUUUUGAAGUUCUUGGUCAACUGCAAAAUCAAUCAACCUCGGAGUUAAAACUCCUACUGCCCUGAGUCUUGGUUUCCCCUGGCCGGGCGGGCGAGCGCUCUCCGCACCGCCCCCGGAGGUCAUACGGGCGCCCGGGCCUGCAGGCGGCAGCGCCCCAGGUGCCUGGGGGCGGGCGGGGUGCAGGCAGGUGCACCUUGGGCGCUUUGUGUUUUCCCACACCUCCGGCUUGCAAACCGAAAGACUUCUUUCCAGAGGGUUCUGUGCGAGGCCUCAGGACCCAGACCAGGAUUUCCAUCAGCUCCCCUGGCUCGCAGGCCUUCUGACUUCUGACUCACCAGGGGCUCUCCUGGAUCCAGCUUCAUGAUGGCAGAUCGUGGGACUUCUUGGCCUCCGUAAUCACAUGAAACAAUGCCCACAAGAGAAAAUAAAAGCAGUCAGAGAAGAUUUUGAAAACUCUUUAUCUCCACGGCCUUUCCCCUGUUCCCCAGCAUGUGGAGCCGUGGACUCUGCCUUCCGCCCAUCACGAUGGUGCAGAACCUCAUAUCCCAGCGUUUGUUACCACAGACUUCCCCUUUCUGUCCUGCUAGCAGAGGCCACGCUGCCACUCCGCGUCGGACCCCUUCUCCUCUCGCUUCCUCAGUGGCACUGUUGGAGCUACCCUCCCCUCUCCUGCAUUAUCAUUUCUUACUUUUCUCUCGGAUCAUUUCAAUCGGCAUAAAACUACUUGUAAUUUCACCCUUCUGAAAACAAAAUCCUUUUUUGACCCAUUUCCCUCGUCUUCUAGUGCCUCAUUUCUUUGUUCCCCCAACUCUUUACAACAAAACUUCAUGAAAGAUUUGUC